GGUGCAGAAUAUUUUCUGAGAAUUAGUGACUGUCUGGGAGGAGCUUCUAGCAUUAACCUCAGGCAGUUAAUUUCCAGGAAAUGUUCUGUGC
rnacentral:miRNA from 1 species